GCCUUCCACAUUUCAUCUUAAAUCAUCUUAAAUCAAAUCAUCGAUCAAUAGUCCAAUCUCCAUGGCAUACAUUUUGAAUUGACCAAAGUCAUAAACUAUGAUAAACUUUUCUUAACAAAAAUGACAUAACUUGCGAAGUUUUAGAACCAGAAGACCAAGCUAAUGCACUCUCUUUAUUAUUGUGUUUGUUACAGUAAGCACAAAAAUAGGGCACACACAGAUUUGUAC
rnacentral:lncRNA from 1 species